GCCGUAUAUUCGAGAAACACUUGAUUAUGCAAGGAAGUCAACCUCGGUACCCUUAAAUGACCUUGAAAAGUUGUUCGCGGCAUUCAUCUUUGAUCCUUGCGAUCCAUUUACUGGGGAUUCUUACGUGCAUUUGAAAUUAUUUUCCACCGAAAGAUUUUUUGCAACCCGGUCUGAAUUGUGCAGCUUGAAACCCGGAGUAUGGAUACUAGACACGAUUCUAAAUUUGGUAGCCGUGCAAAUGACAAAUGCGGAAAGGUUGCUUUAUCCAGACAAGCGCCACUUCAUGUGGUAUUUGC